CCUCCCCAGGUGUCAUCCCUUUUGAUCCAGUCACAGUACUCUUGAUUCGUCUUUCCCAGUAUUGCCUCGCUAUAGAAGUCUGGAUCGCUUGCUACGAUUUGUGCUAUGAGGCGUCUCAUCUCAGGGGCGCAAGCAGGAUUCAACACUCCUCCUUCCACGACAUAGUACACACUGGUAAAGAGGCAAGAGUUGUCUGCUGGGACCACAGUUCUGCUAAGCACGGGCAAAGGUUCCCUGACGUAACUGGGAGCACCAUGUUUUGUGAAUGUAGGCGACUUUUUGGGCCUGGUUUGGUCUUCUUCCACGAUCAGCAUGUCGCCUGUUGGAAAAUAAAACAAAUCCAGAACUGCAGAGAAAUCGCAGACUUUUGUGGACACAGAAGGAAAACAAAAGGAAUGAGAUGUUUUCCAGAGUGGAGGAGUUGCCAGCCCCGGCCCCCGUCAGAGUCCUCUGCUCUUCAAUUGAUCCUUAGCCCCGUCCUCACCCCCCCCCCGUCCUUACCCCCCGCUCCUCACCCCCCAUCCUUGGC